rnacentral:rRNA from 1 species
AUUGAACGCUGGCGGCAUGCCUUACACAUGCAAGUCGAACGGCAGCGACGGGGCAACCUGGUGGCGAGUGGCGAACGGGUGAGUAAUGCAUCGGAACGUGCCAGUUGAGUGGGGGAUAACGUAGCGAAAGUUGCGCUAAUACCGCAUAUUCUGUGAGGCAGGAAAGCAGGGGACCGCAAGGCCUUGCGCUCUUUGAGCGGCCGAUGUCAGAGUUAGCUAGUUGGUGAGGUAACGGCUUACCAAGGCGACGAUCUGGUAGCGGGUCUGAGAGGAUGAUCCGCCACACCUGGAACUGAGACACGGUCCAGACUCCGUACGGGAGGCAGCAGUGGGGAAUUUUGGACAAUGGGCGCAAGCCUGAUCCAGCCAUGCCGCGUGAGUGAAGAAGGCCUGGUGUAAGCUCUUCGCCGGAGAAUACGCAUGGUAGUACCUCGUGUGAGUGACGGUACCGGA